rnacentral:tRNA from 1 species
UGGCUCGGUUGAUAGAGCAUAACGCUUGCAAUGCUAGGGUUGUGGGUUUGAUUCCCAC